UAUAAACGUAAAAUACUCAGCAGCAGGAGGUCCAGAGAUUCCGAAUUGUGAUAGCGGUAAUGGCCAUAGGCAUUGGCAUGGCAGUUACCGGUAUGUACCCGCACACCCCGAGACUCUUUUCAUUUAUGCAUCCCACGCGCCACUUCUCACUUACUGCUUUCACUACUAAGUUUCGACUUCGAGCUUCUUCCUCUUCCACGGCUUUCAUUAACACCGACUCCAAUCCAACAGAUUCCAUUUUAGUUGAGAAGGAAGUCAGCCAGAGCAGCAAUUUAUUGGCUUGUCCUGUAUGUUAUGACUCCUUGACAUGGACCGGUGAUCUUGGUUUGUCCGUAGAUACUAUCCCUGGAUCUAGUUUACAAUGUAGCACCUGUCAGAAAACAUAUGUUGGUAACCAAACACAUCUUGAUCUCACAGCAACGAGUGGAGCUAAGAGCUAUGGUGAAUUGAUGCCGGCUUCCACAGAACUUUUCAGGGUGCCAUUGAUAUCAUUUCUCUAUGAGAGGGGCUGGCGUCAAACCUUUUCUGUAUGGGGUGGUUUUCCAGGUCCUGAGAAAGAGUUUGAACUGAUGAAGGGUUUCUUAAAGCCAGUAUUGGGUGGAAAUAUCAUUGAUGCUAGUUGUGCAAGUGGAUUAUUUUCAAGAUUAUUUGCAAAAAGUGGACUGUUUUCUUUGGUUGUUGCUCUAGACUAUUCAGAAAACAUGUUGCAGCAAUGUUAUGAGUUCAUUCAGCAGGAAGAGAACUUUCCAAAAGAGAACUUCAUCUUGGUUAGAGCAGACAUAUCUAGACUCCCUUUUGUUUCAAGUUCUGUUGAUGCUGUGCAUGCAGGCGCAGCUCUCCACUGUUGGCCUUCACCAUCAGCUGCUGUAGCUGAAAUAAGUCGUGUUUUACGUCCUGGAGGUGUCUUUGUGGCGACCACCUACAUACUUGAUGGGCCUUUUACUGUUGUCCCAUUUUUAAGUACACUACGUCAGAAUAUAAUGCAAGUAUCCGGGAGCUACAUCUUUCUCUCUGAACGUGAACUUAAAGAUCUCUGCCGGGUGGGUGGUCUGGUUGGAUUUAAAUGCAUCAGAAACGGGCUUUUUGUGAUGAUUUCUGCUACAAAGCCCAGUUAAGGUUUGAGUUUCCUGGUGCAUUCUGUGCUGCAUUCUAAACACAUUUUACUGAAGCCUUUAGUUCUUUACAUAAUCAAUUUAUUUAAAUCGUUAGCAGAUAAAAAUGCUGCAUGUUGAUCGGUUAAAAGUUUUAGUUUGACUUAUUACGAUAAAAAUAGGCUUCAUUUUUGUCUUACAUUAGGCACAUAUCAUGAGUUGGGAAGAUCACCACCACAAAUGCAAAAGUAAGGAGUUAUGAUAGAUGGUGAAAAAAGUGUUCAAGUCAUGAUAUGUGAGAAAUGUGAGGCGAAAUAUAUGUAAAUAUCAUUACUACUUCAUUUAACAUUCAACUUUCUUGCCUUUUUGCAUUUGAUUCAUAUAUCACAAAAUUAUCACAGCUCUGUCGCUGGUAAUUGGAGUAAUAAGAAUAUACUUUGCUAUUCAACGUAUUAACCUUUAGAGGAUCUAUACAUGAUUAAACUGCAUAUAAACAUGGGAAGUUCUUCCCUCAAAGAAAGUUCUGGGGAAUUCUCUGCCACUGAAAACAUCUUGACUUAACCUCUCUUGAGCCAAGCAAUCUCAGUAGGCUGCAAAACCGCUAAAACUAUUCACCUAAAUUCGAGAAUGUCAACUGUCCGUUAGAACAAUGUGUUAUUGAUAGGAACUGAAUAAAUCUGACCAGAAAAUGGGACCUAAACAGUAUGUAUUGUAUUGCUAUACUGAUAUCAGAAUGAUAUCAGAGCUUGUAUAUGGUGUUUAUAAUCGGAAAACAUGAAAAUGAAGGAUA